rnacentral:lncRNA from 1 species
AAGCAAGCUCUAUUCUCUUACCAUACACCCUACCGCACUCAACAGGUUCCAAAACCUCCCCCUAAAUCCGAAAACCCUAAACUACUCGCAGCACAGUCUCUUUCUCUUUUGAUCUUUUACCUCUGCCAUCAUUUCGAUACUCAAUCAACAAUGGCGUUCUUCUCCCGCCUCCGCAACCAAACCCUAAACCGCCGGAACUUUUCCACGAUCCUCUCGCCGGACUCCAAAACCACACUCUC